CCAGUAGUCAUACGCUCGUCUCAAAGAUUAAGCCAUGCAUGUGUAAGUAUAAAUAAUUUUACUUUGAAACUGCGAAUGGCUCAUUAUAUCAGUUAUAGUUUAUUAGAAAUAUUUUACUACUUGGAUAACCGUAGUAAUUCUAGGGCUAAUACAUGAGUAAAACCUCAACUUCGGAAGAGGUGUGUUUAUUAGUAUGAAAACCAUAUAUCUUCGGAUAUAAUAGUGAGUAAUAAUAACCUUUCAUAUCGUAUGUCGUAAGAUAACGAUAGUUCUUUCAAGUUUCUGCCCUAUCAGCUUUCGAUGGUAGUAUAUGGGACUACCAUGGCAGUAACGGGUAACGAAGAAUUUGGGUUCGAUUUCGGAGAGGGAGCCUGAGAGAUGGCUACCACAUCCAAGGAAGGCAGCAGGCGCGUAAAUUACCCAAUCCUGACAUAGGGAGGUAGUGACAAUAAAUCACAAUGCGGAACUU
rnacentral:rRNA from 1 species